CUUUCACUGACAGCAUGCAGGAGAGUUUUUGAAACUUAGAAACCACUUUCAUACGGACCUGUCUCAUGAUAUAGUUGUGUGAGGAGUUCCUUUGUCUUAAAUGUGGCUCAUUCUUGGAUUAAUAUUUUGAUUAGGCCUCAUUUUUGGAGGGUCAGAGGGUGAAUCUCAUCUUAUCACUGCAUUUCUGCAUUAAAAAUGGAGCUCCAAGUCGAGAUACAAUAAGCAUGUCGUUUUGGUGACUGAUCUUCAACCAUCACCAAUUCUAUGAGGAUUCACGAGGCCACCUCUGAGAUGUGGUGGAUGUUGGACAGGGUGAGCUGAGCCUCCCGAGCCGGAUAGAAAUGUCUGGAGCGAAGCCACAACCUCCCAAAGACCCCCGUGAUCAGCAGCAGGACCAC